rnacentral:rRNA from 1 species
UACGUAGGGUGCAAGCGUUAAUCGGAAUUACUGGGCGUAAAGCGUGCGCAGGCGGUUGUGCAAGACAGAUGUGAAAUCCCCGGGCUUAACCUGGGAACUGCAUUUGUGACUGGCGGGCUAGAGUAUGGCAGAGGGGGGUAGAAUUCCACGUGUAGCAGUGAAAUGCGUAGAGAUGUGGAGGAAUACCGAUGGCGAAGGCAGCCCCCUGGGCCAAUACUGACGCUCAUGCACGAAAGCGUGGGGAGCAAACAGG